ACAGGGGUCGCGCGAACGCAGACCCCCUCAACCACAAAUUAUGAUGUAGGCUCUCCCACUUGGGGAGACCUUAGGGUAGCACCCCUCCUAAGUGCAAUGGAAGUUACCAACCUAGGCCAUGAACCUUCCUGAUCGUCCAUAGACCCCAUCCAGGUAAGUAU
rnacentral:snRNA from 1 species